ACGUAGGGUGCGAGCGUUAAUCGGAAUUACUGGGCGUAAAGCGUGCGCAGGCGGUUGUGUAAGACAGAUGUGAAAUGCCCGGGCUCAACCUGGGAAUUGCAUUUGUGACUGCACGGCUAGAGUGUGUCAGAGGGGGGUAGAAUUCCACGUGUAGCAGUGAAAUGCGUAGAUAUGUGGAGGAAUACCGAUGGCGAAGGCAGCCCCCUGGGAUAACACUGACGCUCAUGCACGAAAGCGUGGGGAGCAAACAG
rnacentral:rRNA from 1 species